rnacentral:rRNA from 1 species
AGAGUUUGAUCCUAGCUCAGGAUGAAUGCUGGCGGCGUGGAUAAGGCAUGCAAGUCGAAUGGGUUUAGACCCAUGGCAGACGAGGUAGGAACACGUAGGUACGUACCGGAGAGUCAGGGAUAUUCCAUCGAAAGAUGGCGCAACACCUGAUGGUCCCGAGAGGGUAAAGAUUUAUCGCUCUCUGAACGGCCUGCGUAGUAUCAGCUAGUUGGUAAGGUAAUGGCUUACCAAGGCUAUGACGCUUAGGGGAGCUGAGAGGCUGACCCCCACCGAUGGAACUGAGACACGGUCCAUGCUCCUACGGGAGGCCGCAGUCGAGAAUCUUCCGCAAUGGACGAAAGUCUGACGGAGCGACGCCGCGUGCAGGAUGAAGUCCCUCGGGACGUAAACUGCUUUUGUGCGCUAGAAAGUUUAUUGAUCAGCGCAAGAAUAAGGGGCUCCUAACUCUGUGCCAGCAGGAGCGGUAAUACAGAGGCCCCAAGCAUUAUCCGGAUUUACUGGGCGUAAAGGGUGCGUAGGUGGUCGUAUUAGUCUCGCGUCAAAUCUCCCCGCUUAACGGGGAACCUGCGCGGGAAACGGUACGACUUGAGGAUGUGAGAGGUGUGCGGAACUCACGGUGUAGGGGUGAAAUCCGUUGAUAUCGUGGGGAACACCAAAUGCGAAGGCAGCACACUGGCACAUUCCUGACACUGAGGCACGAAAGCGUGGGUAGCGAACGGGAUUAGAUACCCCGGUAGUCCACGCCCUAAACGUUGUUCUCUGGCUAUAGGGAGUAUCGACCCUCUCUGUGGCGAAGCUAACGCGUUAAGAGAACCGCCUGGGUAGUACGAUCGCAAGAUUAAAACUCAAAGGAAUAGACGGGGACUCGCACAAGCGGUGGAUUAUGUGGCUUAAUUCGAUGCCAAACGAAGAACCUUACCAAGAUUAGAAAUGCAGCUGCACGCUCUGGGAAACCAGAGAAGCUUUCGAAGGUGCUGCACAGGUGAUGCAUGGCCGUCGUCAGUUCGUGGCUUGAGCUGUUCCCUUAAGUGGGGAAACGAACGCAACCCCUAUUGCCUGUUUUACGUGUCAGGCGAGACUGCUCCCUUACGGGAGAGGAAGGCAGGGAUGACGCCAGGUCAGCAUGUCCCUCUGAUAUCUUGGGCUGCACACAUAAUACAAUGGUUGGUACAACGGGAUGCGAACGCGCGAGCGGGAGCUAAUCCUUUAAAACCAAUCUCAGUACGGAUUGAAGUCUGCAACCCGACUUCAUGAAGCUGGAAUCGCUAGUAAUCCCGGGUCAGCUAUACCGGGGUGAAUACGUUCUCGAGUCUUGUACUCACCGCCCGUCAACUCAAGGGAGCUGGGAAUACCCGAAAUUCGCAUUUACUGCGGAUGACGGUAAGCUCAGUGACAGGGAGUAAGUCAUAACAAGGCA